rnacentral:rRNA from 1 species
ACGGGUGAGUAACACGUGGGUGAUCUGCCCUGCACUUUGGGAUAAGCCUGGGAAACUGGGUCUAAUACCGAAUACACCUUGCUGGCUGCAUGGCCUGGUGGGGGAAAGCUUUUGCGGUGUGGGAUGGGCCCGCGGCCUAUCAGCUUGUUGGUGGGGUGAUGGCCUACCAAGGCGACGACGGGUAGCCGGCCUGAGAGGGUGUCCGGCCACACUGGGACUGAGAUACGGCCCAGACUCCUACGGGAGGCAGCAGUGGGGAAUAUUGCACAAUGGACGCAAGCCUGAUGCAGCGACGCCGCGUGAGGGAUGACGGCCUUCGGGUUGUAAACCUCUUUCAGUAUCGACGAAGCGCAAGUGACGGUAGGUGCAGAAGAAGCACCGGCCAACUACGUGCCAGCAGCCGCGGUAAUACGUAGGGUGCGAGCGUUGUCCGGAAUUACUGGGCGUAAAGAGCUCGUAGGUGGUUUGUCGCGUUGUUCGUGAAAACUCACAGCUCAACUGUGGGCGUGCGGGCGAUACGGGCAGACUGGAGUACUGCAGGGGAGACUGGAAUUCCUGGUGUAGCGGUGGAAUGCGCAGA